AUGUGACAUUUAGUAUUCUCCUGUGACAGUUUAUUAAUCGGUUGGAUAUGUCGCUUAUACAUUCUUGUAUGUGAUACAUUUUUGUAGGAGGAUUGUUUUGGAGGUUGAGGACCAAACUAUAAACAGAUACGAUAUUCUUCAUCUUCUACGCGGUGGGCCAUUGAAGGAUGAGACGGUUGAAGCCCUUGUUGCAAGACUUCGGAACUGGCUCAAGCUCCCCGAAAAUGCCGCUCGGGAUCGCAAAUUUGCUAUUAUCACAUCCUAUUUUAGUAUUUGGUUGCUAACUGCUUCAAAGUUGGAUGAGCGAAAGAUCUAUAAAAACUAUAUAAAGAAGCAUAUCGACGAAGGGAAGGAUGUGUUGAUAAUCCCGAUAUGUCAUGCUGAUCAUUGGCAUGUCGUCGAGGUCAAUCUGGGGCAAAAAAAAAUGCAGGCAUUACAGCUCCGCUGGCCACGAGGCAUGGGCUAGGGACGUGUUGGCCAUCCAACUAUUUUUAGAUAGGAUGGUGAGCGGAUUUGACCAGAGUUCGACAUUUAGAGCAUUUGAUUAUGAAGCGGUUCCCUGUCGUAUGCAAAAAGGAUCGUAUGAUUGUGGCAUACAUGCGUAUUUUUUCAUCAAGACGAUUCUCGAGGAAAGGGAGAUAAUGCAAGUUGAAGCCUUGCACAGGGAGUCACAUAUGCUACGAGCAGGACUUGCUGCUCAACUCAUAUGUGAAGGGCGUGAAGGGAAAAAACUGCGGUUGAAAUUAGACAGUGAUGAUCCAGAAUAUUUUUUGUACUUUGGGGGUAGUGAUGUACCUAAGAUUGAGUGGAAGUAUUAGACUCUACAUUAACUGUGUCAUUUGUUUAAACGUGGUGAUGUACAGGCUAACCAGUUUACUAGCUGUGUGUGACAUUUGUUGGAUUGCUGUUGACGACUUUUGGGGCUGUUACGCGAUGUUUUAGUAUGCCGUGUGACUUUUGAGUCUUGUAUGUGACGUUUUAGUGUUCUGUGUGACUUUUGAAUAUCACGUGUGUCAUUUUAGUGUACUGUGUGACUU